rnacentral:rRNA from 1 species
AACAGGAUUAGAUACCCUGGUAGUCCACGCCGUAAACGAUGUCGACUUGGAGGUUGUUCCCUUGAGGAGUGGCUUCCGGAGCUAACGCGUUAAGUCGACCGCCUGGGGAGUACGGCCGCAAGGUUAAAACUCAAAUGAAUUGACGGGGGCCCGCACAAGCGGUGGAGCAUGUGGUUUAAUUCGAUGCAACGCGAAGAACCUUACCUACUCUUGACGUCCAGCGAACUUAGCAGAGAUGCUUUGGUGCCUUCGGGAACGCUGAGACAGGUGCUGCAUGGCUGUCGUCAGCUCGUGUUGUGAAAUGUUGGGUUAAGUCCCGCAACGAGCGCAACCCUUAUCCUUUGUUGCCAGCGAUUCGGUCGGGAACUCAAAGGAGACUGCCGGUGAUAAACCGGAGGAAGGUGGGGAUGACGUCAAGUCAUCAUGGCCCUUACGAGUAGGGCUACACACGUGCUACAAUGGCGCAUACAAAGAGAAGCGACCUCGCGAGAGCAAGCGGACCUCACAAAGUGCGUCGUAGUCCGGAUCGGAGUCUGCAACUCGACUCCGUGAAGUCGGAAUCGCUAGUAAUCGUGGAUCAGAAUGCCACGGUGAAUACGUUCCCGGGCCUUGUACACACCGCCCGUCACACCAUGGGAGUGGGUUGCAAAAGAAGUAGGUAGCUUAACCUUCGGGAGGGCGCUUACCACUUUGUGAUUCAUGACUGGGGUGAAGUCGUAACAAGGUAACC